GGUGCGAGGGUUCGANGGGAGAGCACCUGCCUUACAAGCAGGGGGUCACAGGUUCGAGCCCUGUUGGUCCCACCA
rnacentral:tRNA from 1 species